rnacentral:rRNA from 1 species
AUGGCGUCCUCCAGCGGGAGCGGGAGCGGGAGCACGGGCUCGCUGUCGACGGCGGCGGCCAUGGCGAUGGCGGCCGCGUCGGGCACGGAGGAGGAGAUGCGGGCGCUCAUGGAGCAGCGCCGGGCCAAGCGGAUGCUCUCCAACCGGGAGUCGGCGCGCCGCUCGCGGAUGCGCAAGCAGCGCCACCUCGACGACCUCGCCGCGCAGGCGGCGCACCUGCGCCGCGAGAACGCGCACGUCGCCGCCGCGCUCGGGCUCACCGCGCGGGGCCUCCAGGCCGUCGACGCCGAGAACGCCGUCCUCCGCACCCAGGCCGCCGAGCUCGCCGCGCGCCUCCACUCGCUCAACGACAUCAUCGCCUGCAUGAGCGCCAGCAACAACACCGCCGCCGCCGUCGCGCUCACCGUCGCCGCAGCAGCCACCGCCACCACCGCCGACCCGCUCGGCUUCGACGGCGCGUCAUUCGAGGACUUCCUCUUCAGAUCCUCCCCCGAGAUGUUCAUGUUCCCAGCCCUGCAAAGCUAG